UUCCCUGUAGCGCAAUGGAUAGCGAGUUAGACUUCUAAUCCAAAGGUCGUGGAUUCCAAUACCACCUGGGAUG